rnacentral:rRNA from 1 species
UACGGGGGGAGCAAGCGUUGUUCGGAUUUACUGGCGUAAAGGGCGCGUUAGGCGGCCACCGCAAGUCAGUUGUGAAAUCUCUGGGCUUAACCCAGAAAGGUCAACUGAUACUGCGGGGCUAGAGUGCAGAAGGGGCAACUGGAAUUCUCGGUGUAGCGGUGAAAUGACGUAGAUAUCGAGAGGAACACCGUGGCGGAAGGCGGUGCCUGGGACUAACACUGACACUGAGGCGACGAAAGCUAGGGGAGCAACGG